UGCACGGAAAAGCGGUGCUGUGUGGA
rnacentral:piRNA from 1 species